rnacentral:rRNA from 1 species
UACGUAGGGUGCGAGCGUUUAAUCGGAAUUAUUGGGCGUAAAGGGCUCGUAGGCGGUUUGUCGCGUCGGGAGUGAAAACACCGGGCUUAACCUGGGAAUGGCAUUUGGGACUGCAAGGCUUGAGUGCGGCAGAGGAGACUGGAAUUCCAGGUGUAGCGGUGAAAUGCGUAGAUAUCAGGAGGAAUACCGGUGGCGAAAGCGACUCUCUGGACGGCAACUGACGCUGAGGCACGAAAGCGUGGGGAGCAAACAGG